rnacentral:rRNA from 1 species
UGGGGAAUAUUGCACAAUGGGCGAAAGCCUGAUGCAGCGACGCCGCGUGAGGGAUGACGGCCUUCGGGUUGUAAACCUCUUUCAGCAGGGACGAAGCGCAAGUGACGGUACCUGCAGAAGAAGCACCGGCUAACUACGUGCCAGCAGCCGCGGUAAUACGUAGGGUGCAAGCGUUGUCCGGAAUUACUGGGCGUAAAGAGUUCGUAGGCGGUUUGUCGCGUCGUUUGUGAAAACCAGCAGCUCAACUGCCGGCUUGCAGGCGAUACGGGCAGACUUGAGUACUGCAGGGGAGACUGGAAUUCCUGGUGUAGCGGUGAAAUGCGCAGAUAUCAGGAGGAACACCGGUGGCGAAGGCGGGUCUCUGGGCAGUAACUGACGCUGAGGAACGAAAGCGUGGGUAGCGAACAGG